rnacentral:lncRNA from 1 species
CGAACGCUGGCGGUCACCUUGCUCAGUUACCAGGAUAUGGCCUUCGAUCCUGCUAAUAACCCGCUAUCAGGUGAACAAUACCUGCAAUUGCACGCAAGGUGUAGGGAGUAAAUGGAGUACUUCCAACUCAGUGGUAAUAAGAGAGAAUAAUAUCUGAGCGAUAAAAAAACACUUAUGAGCACACCAAACUGCUAUAAAAGACAGAACAACCCUUUUUGAGAAAAAUUGAAAUACCGUGGAAAUCCCUUUAGAAAAAUCUCAAGAACAGUUCAAAAUCUCUUUUGAAAAUACGCUUUUUCAACACUUGCAAAGAUGAUUUCAACAAGUAGGAAAUAAUCAAAAAAACUGCCCGCCGGGCUCAAUAUCAAGCUUUCAGUACAGUACCAGCCCCGCGGGCUCAUCCCAACUCAAAAUAUCCAUCAUCAGCCUCUCAGGCUCAGCACUCCUCAACAUAUAACACCAGGGUAUGUGGUCAGCAAGGCAAGUAACAGAUGUAUGCCAAUGAUAUGUGAGUGCUAAAUGUCGUGCCACGUAGUACAAACAGGAGUAAUGCAUGAAUGCAAUGCAAAUGCAUGACCAUUGCGAAACAUGCAGCCCGAUCCAUUUGGGUACCCUCGCUCACUGUGGGGGUUCAUACUCCGGAGGGGCUCCUACAGCCCAAGCGCAAUAUCAAUAUCACACCGCUGCGAGUCGUGCAGCCCGAUCCAUGCAAUAUGCUAGUGCGGCGUGCAGUCCGAUCCAUGCAUGUAUGUGCACAUGUACACAUAUUACUCGAGGCGUGCAAGCCUCCUUACAUCAUAUUCAUGCCCUCACAUAUGGCCCUCAGCUUCAAUCAAUCUAAAAUAGUCAAAUGCCCCACGAGUAUUCGUAAAAGAAAUAUACUCAGUUCAAAUGAUGGUGCAAAUAUCGUUUAAAACCGCAAGUUUGAGUAAAAUAUAGCUGAGUUUAUAAAACAGUAUAAAUCACAGGGACUGAGUUCAAAUAGUAUUUCAAGUAGUGAGGAAAACAUUGAUAAUAACUCACAAAGAGUUCGAAUAAUCGGCAAUAAGCCCCAAGUAUGGCAAUAAGCCCAAGCCAUAAUGAUAACAACAAAUCAUCUGCAAAUACGCGGUGAAAACCAACAACAGGGACGGACCAAGUCACGAUCCCCAACGGUGCUCUACCCCACACUCAGGUCCGGUGUGCAAGUCACCACAAUAUAGCACUAAGAUGUGCAAAUCCGGGUUUUCAAACCCUCAUGAUAUCAUUCCCAAGUAUUACUCACCUCGAACCGGCGAAAUCUCAAGCUCACAACGCCUUUGCCCCUCAAAUCGGCCUCCACGAGCGUCGAAUCUAGCCAAAAUUAGAGCGAAU